rnacentral:rRNA from 1 species
GUAGCAAGGUUAACCGAAUAGGGGAGCCGGAGGGAAACCGAGUCUUAACCGGGCGUUAAGUUGCAGGGUAUAGACCCGAAACCCGGUGAUCUAGCCAUGGGCAGGUUGAAGGUUGGGUAACACUAACUGGAGGACCGAACCGACUAAUGUUGAAAAAUUAGCGGAUGACCUGUGGCUGGGGGUGAAAGGCCAAUCAAACCGGGAGAUAGCUGGUUCUCCCCGAAAGCUAUUUAGGUAGCGCCUCGUGAAUUCAUCUCCGGGGGUAGAGCACUGUUUCGGCUAGGGGGCCAUCCCGGCUUACCAACCCGAUGCAAACUGCGAAUACCGGAGAAUGUUAUCACGGGAGACACACGGCGGGUGCUAACGUCCGUCGUGAAGAGGGAAACAACCCAGACCGCCAGCUAAGGUCCCAAAGUCAUGGUUAAGUGGGAAACGAUGUGGGAAGGCCCAGACAGCCAGGAUGUUGGCUUAGAAGCAGCCAUCAUUUAAAGAAAGCGUAAUAGCUCACUGGUCGAGUCGGCCUGCGCGGAAGAUGUAACGGGGCUAAACCAUGCACCGAAGCUGCGGCAGCGACACUGUGUGUUGUUGGGUAGGGGAGCGUUCUGUAAGCCUGUGAAGGUGUGUCGUGAGGC